rnacentral:rRNA from 1 species
GAGUUUGAUCGUGGCUCAGAACGAACGCUGGCGGCGUGGAUAAGACAUGCAAGUCGAACGGAUCUGUCGGUGUAGCAAUACAUCGGCAGGUUAGUGGCGUAAGGGUGGCGUAACACGUGGGCAACCUGCCCGGAAAUGGGGGGAUAGCCCGCCGAAAGGCGGAUUAAUACCGCAUGUGACCACCUGAAGACAUCUUCAGGACGUCAAAGCUGGGGUCAAACCUAGCGUUUCCGGAUGGGCCCGCGGCCUAUCAGCUAGUUGGUGAGGUAACGGCUCACCAAGGCGAUGACGGGUAGCUGGUCUGAGAGGACGACCAGCCACACUGGAACUGAGACACGGUCCAGACACCUACGGGUGGCAGCAGUCGAGAAUUUUUCUCAAUGGGGGCAACCCUGAAGGAGCGACGCCGCGUGGAGGAUGAAGGUCUUCGGAUUGUAAACUCCUGUCAUUGGUGAACAGGUAGUCCCGUUAACUGCGGGGUUAUUGAUAGUAGCCGAAGAGGAAGAGACGGCUAACUCUGUGCCAGCCGCCG